GACGAACGCUGGCGGCGUGCCUAAUACAUGCAAGUCGAGCGCAGGAAAUCAUCCGAACCCUUCGGGGGGACGUUGAUGGAAUGAGCGGCGGACGGGUGAGUAACACGUAAAGAACCUGCCCUCAGGUCUGGGAUAACCACGAGAAAUCGGGGCUAAUACCGGAUGGGUCAUCGGACCGCAUGGUCCGAGGAUGAAAGGCGCUUCGGCGUCGCCUGGGGAUGGCUUUGCGGUGCAUUAGCUAGUUGGUGGGGGAAUGGCCCACCAAGGCGACGAUGCAUAGCGGACCUGGGAGGGUGAUCGGCCACACUGGGACUGAGACACGGCCCAGACUCCUACGGGAGGCAGCAGUAGGGAAUCUUCCACAAUGGACGAAAGUCUGAUGGAGCAACGCCGCGUGAACGAUGAAGGCCUUCGGGUCGUAAAGUUCUGUUGUAAGGGAAGAACAAGUGCCGCAGGCAAUGGCGGCACCUUGACGGUACCUUGCGAGAAAGCCACGGCUAACUACGUGCCAGCAGCAGCCGCCG
rnacentral:rRNA from 1 species